rnacentral:rRNA from 1 species
AUUGAACGCUGGCGGCAGGCCUAACACAUGCAAGUCGAACGAGUGGCGGACGGGUGAGUAAUGUCUGGGAAACUGCCUGCUGGAGGGGGAUAACUACUGGAAACGGUAGCUGAUACCGCAUACCAUCAGAUGUGCCCAGAUGGGAUUAGCUUGUUGGGGUGGUAACGGCUCACCAGGGCGCCGAUCCCUAGCUGGUCUGAGAGGAUGACCGGCAACACUGGAAUGGAGACACGGUCCAGACUCAUACGGGAGGCAGCAGUGGGGAAUAUUGCACAAUGGGCGAAAGCGUGAUGCAGCCAUGCCGUGUGGAGGAAGAAGGCCUUCGGGUUGUAAAGUACUUUCAGCGGGGAGGCGUUACCCGCAGAAGAAGCACCGGCUAACUCCGUGCCAGCCGCCGCGGUAAUAC